GGUUAAGCGACUAAGCGUACACGGUGGAUGCCCUGGCAGUCAGAGGCGAUGAAGGACGUGCUAAUCUGCGAUAAGCGUCGGUAAGGUGAUAUGAACCGUUAUAACCGGCGAUUUCCGAAUGGGGAAACCCAGUGUGUUUCGACACACUAUCAUUAACUGAAUCCAUAGGUUAAUGAGGCGAACCGGGGGAACUGAAACAUCUAAGUACCCCGAGGAAAAGAAAUCAACCGAGAUUCCCCCAGUAGCGGCGAGCGAACGGGGAGGAGCCCAGAGCCUGAAUCAGUGUGUGUGUUAGUGGAAGCGUCUGGAAAGGCGCGCGAUACAGGGUGACAGCCCCGUACACAAAAAUGCACAUGCUGUGAGCUCGAUGAGUAGGGCGGGACACGUGGUAUCCUGUCUGAAUAUGGGGGGACCAUCCUCCAAGGCUAAAUACUCCUGACUGACCGAUAGUGAACCAGUACCGUGAGGGAAAGGCGAAAAGAACCCCGGCGAGGGGAGUGAAAAAGAACCUGAAACCGUGUACGUACAAGCAGUGGGAGCACAGAGCAAUCUGUGUGACUGCGUACCUUUUGUAUAAUGGGUCAGCGACUUAUAUUCUGUAGCAAGGUUAACCGAAUAGGGGAGCCGAAGGGAAACCGAGUCUUAACCGGGCGUUAAGUUGCAGGGUAUAGACCCGAAACCCGGUGAUCUAGCCAUGGGCAGGUUGAAGGUUGGGUAACACUAACUGGAGGACCGAACCGACUAAUGUUGAAAAAUUAGCGGAUGACUUGUGGCUGGGGGUGAAAGGCCAAUCAAACCGGGAGAUAGCUGGUUCUCCCCGAAAGCUAUUUAGGUAGCGCCUCGUGAAUUCAUCUCCGGGGGUAGAGCACUGUUUCGGCAAGGGGGUCAUCCCGACUUACCAACCCGAUGCAAACUGCGAAUACCGGAGAAUGUUAUCACGGGAGACACACGGCGGGUGCUAACGUCCGUCGUGAAGAGGGAAACAACCCAGACCGCCAGCUAAGGUCCCAAAGUCAUGGUUAAGUGGGAAACGAUGUGGGAAGGCCCAGACAGCCAGGAUGUUGGCUUAGAAGCAGCCAUCAUUUAAAGAAAGCGUAAUAGCUCACUGGUCGAGUCGGCCUGCGCGGAAGAUGUAACGGGGCUAAACCAUGCACCGAAGCUGCGGCAGCGACACUGUGUGUUGUUGGGUAGGGGAGCGUUCUGUAAGCCUGUGAAGGUGUGCUGUGAGGCAUGCUGGAGGUAUCAGAAGUGCGAAUGCUGACAUAAGUAACGAUAAAGCGGGUGAAAAGCCCGCUCGCCGGAAGACCAAGGGUUCCUGUCCAACGUUAAUCGGGGCAGGGUGAGUCGACCCCUAAGGCGAGGCCGAAAGGCGUAGUCGAUGGGAAACAGGUUAAUAUUCCUGUACUUGGUGUUACUGCGAAGGGGGGACGGAGAAGGCUAUGUUGGCCGGGCGACGGUUGUCCCGGUUUAAGCGUGUAGGCUGGUUUUCUAGGCAAAUCCGGAAAAUCAAGGCUGAGGCGUGAUGACGAGGCACUACGGUGCUGAAGCAACAAAUGCCCUGCUUCCAGGAAAAGCCUCUAAGCAUCAGGUAACAUCAAAUCGUACCCCAAACCGACACAGGUGGUCAGGUAGAGAAUACCAAGGCGCUUGAGAGAACUCGGGUGAAGGAACUAGGCAAAAUGGUGCCGUAACUUCGGGAGAAGGCACGCUGAUAUGUAGGUGAAGUCCCUCGCGGAUGGAGCUGAAAUCAGUCGAAGAUACCAGCUGGCUGCAACUGUUUAUUAAAAACACAGCACUGUGCAAACACGAAAGUGGACGUAUACGGUGUGACGCCUGCCCGGUGCCGGAAGGUUAAUUGAUGGGGUCAGCGCAAGCGAAGCUCUUGAUCGAAGCCCCGGUAAACGGCGGCCGUAACUAUAACGGUCCUAAGGUAGCGAAAUUCCUUGUCGGGUAAGUUCCGACCUGCACGAAUGGCGUAAUGAUGGCCAGGCUGUCUCCACCCGAGACUCAGUGAAAUUGAACUCGCUGUGAAGAUGCAGUGUACCCGCGGCAAGACGGAAAGACCCCGUGAACCUUUACUAUAGCUUGACACUGAACAUUGAGCCUUGAUGUGUAGGAUAGGUGGGAGGCUUUGAAGUGUGGACGCCAGUCUGCAUGGAGCCGACCUUGAAAUACCACCCUUUAAUGUUUGAUGUUCUAACGUGGACCCGUGAUCCGGGUUGCGGACAGUGUCUGGUGGGUAGUUUGACUGGGGCGGUCUCCUCCUAAAGAGUAACGGAGGAGCACGAAGGUUGGCUAAUCCUGGUCGGACAUCAGGAGGUUAGUGCAAUGGCAUAAGCCAGCUUGACUGCGAGCGUGACGGCGCGAGCAGGUGCGAAAGCAGGUCAUAGUGAUCCGGUGGUUCUGAAUGGAAGGGCCAUCGCUCAACGGAUAAAAGGUACUCCGGGGAUAACAGGCUGAUACCGCCCAAGAGUUCAUAUCGACGGCGGUGUUUGGCACCUCGAUGUCGGCUCAUCACAUCCUGGGGCUGAAGUAGGUCCCAAGGGUAUGGCUGUUCGCCAUUUAAAGUGGUACGCGAGCUGGGUUUAGAACGUCGUGAGACAGUUCGGUCCCUAUCUGCCGUGGGCGCUGGAGAACUGAGGGGGGCUGCUCCUAGUACGAGAGGACCGGAGUGGACGCAUCACUGGUGUUCGGGUUGUCAUGCCAAUGGCACUGCCCGGUAGCUAAAUGCGGAAGAGAUAAGUGCUGAAAGCAUCUAAGCACGAAACUUGCCCCGAGAUGAGUUCUCCCUGACCCUUUAAGGGUCCUGAAGGAACGUUGAAGACGACGACGUUGAUAGGCCGGGUGUGUAAGCGCAGCGAUGCGUUGAGCUAACCGGUACUAAUGAACCGUGAGGCUUAACCUU
rnacentral:rRNA from 1 species